rnacentral:rRNA from 1 species
UGGCAGUCAGAGGCGAUGAAGGGCGUGCUAAUCUGCGAUAAGCGCCGGUAAGGUGAUAUGAACCGUUAUAACCGGCGAUACCCGAAUGGGGAAACCCAGUGUGACUCGUCACACUAUCAUUAACUGAAUCCAUAGGUUAAUGAGGCGAACCGGGGGAACUGAAACAUCUAAGUACCCCGAGGAAAAGAAAUCAACCGAGAUUCCCCCAGUAGCGGCGAGCGAACGGGGAGGAGCCCAGAGCCUGAAUCAGCAUGUGUGUUAGUGGAAGCGUCUGGAAAGGCGCGCGAUACAGGGUGACAGCCCCGUACACAAAAGCGCAUGUGCUGUGAGCUCGAUGAGUAGGGCGGGACACGUGGUAUCCUGUCUGAAUAUGGGGGGACCAUCCUCCAAGGCUAAAUACUCCUGACUGACCGAUAGUGAACCAGUACCGUGAGGGAAAGGCGAAAAGAACCCCGGCGAGGGGAGUGAAAAAGAACCUGAAACCGUGUACGUACAAGCAGUGGGAGCACCCUUUGGG